rnacentral:lncRNA from 1 species
CUUGUAAGCUGAUCAUAUGACUCGCUUUCUAAUAUUUGGUUGUACCACACAGAGAGGGGUGUCUUAGUCACAGUUUGUAAUCCCAGCCUCAAAGAUUAUGAGGAAAAAAAUGUGUGAACCCAUGCUGUCACCAUAUCAUCGCUCCUGUCAUUCUUUUUUUUCCUGAGCUGACACCUCUGAGCCGGCUUCCUUUGGCCCAGAUUCUCAGUAGGGGUCGUGCUGAGGGAGCCUGUGCCCCGUAGGCAGCCAACUACAAACAUGCAGUGACAAUUCAAAUUAGUCCAGUUCACUGGCUCUAGCUGUGACUCAGGACAUUGAGCGCCAGGCAGAAAAGAUGCAUACGCAACCCGCCAAGCUAUGCAGUGACAGAAAGCGCCAGAGAUUAAUAAGUGAGGCUGUUUUAUGAGUGUUUCACCAGGUAUAUGACCCAUUUUAAGCUCAGCACUUUUGUUCAGAAAGACUUGGACUGGAACAGUGCCAGGUCCAUUUGCAAGUCAGAGAGAGAUUGCCUGGUAGCUAAGUAGUCCCAUCCACAGGCACCAGCAGCGGCUGAGGAUGUGUCUAGAGUAUUGUUAUGCAAGCGGGAAGAGCGCAGUCCCACUUUGAUCCAGGCGUCGGACAGAGGCUGAGAUGCUUCAGAGCUGGAAGCUGCUUCUUUGGUGUCCCAUCUGGGUAUUUGCAUGCCGGACAGUAGACUUCCACAGGACUUUGAGCACAUGGGGUGUAACGAGGAUGGACUGAUGGACGUCUGAAGAUAUUGCUCAUCACUCAGCAUCCACAUGUUUUGAGCUUAGUUAGCAUCUCAUUAAGUUUUGUCAGCGUCAAUUAUAGAUCUCAGAGCAGUGACUGUCAACAACCAUGAGCAGCGGAGUGAAUAUCAAAGUCAUAUCUCGGAGGCAGAGUGACGCAGGUGUCAGCUCCAGUCUGCCGUCACCUCGAAGCACGAUGUCGGUCUCAAAGGCAGAUCCCAAAGAGCAAUACGGUGGCCUCCCUAAUCCCACAAUGCAGUAUCAGCACAGCGCAAAACGACGGCCUACAUAUUCUUCACUGUCUGCUUCUUCAGGCACUGCAGAGCGGCUGAGAGGUGCCGCUUUAAAGAACAACCUGCUGCACCAAAAGACUAGCAUGUAUUCACAGAGAAGCUCAGCAGCUGCAGCACGAACUGAUGGAACCUGCUCAGCUUACAGCAGCCCUCAGAUACCAAAGAGGGAAAUUCCACGCUCUAAAGACACAUCAGACAUCUGCAGCGACACAAUAACCCAGAAAGCUUUGAGAGACCUUCAGUUAAGAAGAAACACUAACAAGAACUGGACCUUUGGAAAGUAUCGUCAGAGGAGUGUGGACAAUGCACAAGAGGGUAACACUUUGCGACACCGCCCACCAAAUCCUCAGGUAGGCUACGGAAGAGGACGUCUUCUUUAUAGUAAAAAUGCAAAUGGCAAUGAGAUACCAGGGGUAUCUUCAGCUGGAAUAGAGAACUUCCAAAAAGAAGUGAGGAACAUCUCCAACCAUGACCUGGAAGCUUCUGACAGGGAGCUUUUCAACAAAUCAAAGUCUUCCCAUCAAACAUUCAACCUGGCACGCAGAGGGAGUGAGCCAGGAAAGGUCAACAUGGCUGCUGUUGCUCCAUUUAGAUUCAGGUUUAAGAUUCACGAGGAUACAGAUACCUCUCUGGAUGAUCUCAGUGACUGCUCCUCUGACUCCAUGGAGGUCUGUUGUGAUGAUCUAGGUGAGUCUUUUUGAAAUUCUUUCCAUUAUUCUUUCUAGUGUGGGAACACUGGACACAUCUGUUGUUAUAAAGCAUUUGUUCUUAAUGUGAGAUCUUGCACCUCUAAGGAGUUACCAAAUAACUUUGGAGGGUCAUAGACUUUGGAAUUUCU